rnacentral:rRNA from 1 species
CACGUAGGGGGCGAGCGUUUGUCCGGAUUUAUUGGGCGUAAAGAGCUCGUAGGCGGUUUGGCAAGUCGGGUGUGAAAGUUUCGACGGCUCAACCUCGAAACGCCACUCGAUACUGCCAUGACUGGAGUCCGGUAGAGGAGUGCGGAAUUCCUGGUGUAGCGGUGAAAUGCGCAGACUAUCAGGAGGAACACCAACGGCGAAGGCAGCACUCUGGGCCGGUACUGACGCUGAGGAGCGAAAGCGUGGGGAGCAAACAGG